rnacentral:rRNA from 1 species
GACAGAGGAGCCAAGCGUUGUCCGGAGUCACUGGGCGUAAAGCGCACGCAGGUGGUUCUGUGCGUGGGGUGUGAAAGCUCUCGGCUUAACUGAGAGAGGCCACCUCAUACGGCAGAACUGGAGCCCUGCAGAGGUCCACGGAAUUGCCGGUGUAGUGGUGAAAUGCGCAGAUAUCAGGAGGAACACCGGUGGCGAAGGCGGGUCUCUGGGCCGAUACUGACGCUGAGGAGCGAAAGCGUGGGGAGCGAACAGG